UACGUAGGGUGCAAGCGUUAAUCGGAAUUACUGGGCGUAAAGCGUGCGCAGGCGGCUUUGCAAGACAGGGGUGAAAGCCCAGAGCUCAACUCUGGAAUUGCCUUUGAGACUGAGUGGCUUGAGUACGAGAGAGGUGAGUGGAAUUCCCAGUGUAGAGGUGAAAUUCGUAGAUAUUGGGAAGAACACCGGUGGCGAAGGCGGCUCACUGGCUCGUAACUGACGCUCAUGCACGACAGCGUGGGGAUCAAACAGG
rnacentral:rRNA from 1 species